GUGCUUCGGCAGCACAUAUGCUAAAAUUGAAACAAGACAGAGAAGAUUAGCAUGGGCCCCGAGCAAGGAUGACACGCAAAUUCAUGAAGCAUUCCAUAUAUUU
rfam:Pteropus alecto contig56928, whole genome shotgun sequence.